ensembl:lncRNA
UUUUUUUUUGCUUUAUUGUUUGUUUGUUUGUUUGAUUGAUUGUUUUUUUAUGUUUUGUUCAUAUGUAAAAAAAAGAGAAAUGGACAAGGGCAGCCGAGUCUCAAAGACAGCAGAAGCGCAACAAUCGCCGACUCAAGUAUCACAAAGUCUUUUCCAUUUGGGAAAGUUUCCGCGGGAGAAAUUAAUUCUCUACGUCGCAAAAUCCGCGACUGAAAAGAAAGCAGUGGCAAAACUCCGAGUUUGGUUAAGAACAGGCUGACGCGCACCGGUCAGAAAUCAUGCAGGUAGAGUUUAUUUGGCCUCGCGACGGGGCCAUACAACAGACGACAGCUGGAAGCUUUCUUCCUACCUUAUUCUUCGCUAAUUCUACGCCUGCUGCUUGUCGAUGCUGCUAGUACGCGAUAAAACCCACGCCCUUUUAUUUGGAAGCUGGGGGAAGACAGCAAGGCCUCAAACACACAGCACAUCCUAUAUUAUCUUUGGGAGACGGAGACCCACCGUUUUAACUUGCAGAACCAUUCCCAUCAGUAAGACACGCGAGACAGAGAUGAUAUCCCCAUGCUCCAUCUUUAUUCUGCAAAUGCUGCUCAAAGCUUUUCAUUACCCUCCAUAGGCACCCACCAAAAACAAUUACAUGUCACCGGUGGCUAGGCUGACGGGCAACACGUGAAACCCAUUCGGUGGCGAUCCGUACGCGUGCAGCAACACCGGCGGUGCAAACAUCUUAGCCAGGAGGCUGGCCCAACUGACGGCCACCCAGAAUACAGAGCCGCGCGCGGUAGUCUGAAGGGACUGAGGGUGGGUAUCUCACAGCCAUCCGGAAUCCAUCGGUCAAGCCCAGGCUAGCAGCACACUUCUCGCCAACAAUCAUCAAACGCCCAAGAAGCUGGAGAAGGAAAUAACGUUACGUAACGGAGCAUGCCACAACACAAUGAAGGGUGGAGAGGGCAGGAAGCCAAGGAAGGCGAGCAGAGAACCAGCCACAGAACGCGGUUAACUAGUUCUUCGCCAUUCAAGGGCCGCUCUUCAAAUUACUGCCUUUCUGCAACUGACACAUUCCAAGCAAAGCUACAAAGACCGAUUAUGCAUAAUGGGGGGAGGGGCAGCUAUGGGACUUGCCACCUUUUUUUUCCUUUUUUGUUUUUAACCCCCUCCCCACCCCCAGCUAGACAGUAACGGACUACAAAUCGGGCACAGAAGCCAGAUUUGUCUCGGACUUCCAGCCCCCCAUUAUAUCUUCGGGCAACCUAAGUCUUUCCGGCAGAAAAGAAAAACUCAGUGUAGGCUUUGUGAGCCCACGCCAAAGCCACGGGACUUGACUUCUACAGCUGAAAAUGAGACAUCCAGCACCCCUCAGCCAGCUUUCCCCUUCCUCGCCUCCGACCUGCUCAAAACCCCAAGCCCUCUUCUCCAUAUUAGAGCAAGGACCACUGUCUGGAAACAGCGAGAACAGGCAUAGGGCCAUACUUCUGAACAGCGCUGCAUUUUGCAUCAAGUACGUACCCAGAAAUGAGCAUCGCUCUCUCUCACUACCCUUAGUCAAAACGCUCAGCUCCGUUACAAGCUAGAGGCAAAAGAUUAUGGCGUCGGGAAAGCCCAAAUAGCCUACUGUGCCUCUUUGCAACAUCGAGAGGAAACGAGGCGACGGGACAGAGCCUACUAAAUUACAUACCACUUACUGGCACCGUUUCGUGUACAGAAAGCUUCCACGGUACUUACAGGUGCGCCACAAUCUUCUGCUCCGGAUAACCCGACAACGGCCUUCUGGGGAGCGGCUAGGAAAAAGCGUAGGAGCUUGCGGUGAAAUAUCAUGGAACGCAAGGCACUGGAGGAAGAGGACACGCUUAAAACGGGAUUGGCUUCGGAGAAAGGCAAUAGCUGAAGCAGAUCGCUACGCCCCACUGAACGCGUACCCCAAACGCAAGACAAAACAGCGAUUCUUCCUAAGGGAUCUUUGAAUCGGCAAAGCCCUCUCCCUUCUAUGCACAAGACAUGUUUUCACAGGCUCCUGCUGCUACGAGCACAGAGCGAUUUUAAACCCAAACAAAAGCACCUCCAUUUGCGCUUAUUUCACUCUCAUAUUAAGACCCUGCUUAACCACUCAAGCGGCAAACGGUGGCUCACCAUCCUUCAGUUAUGGCCAAAUAUCGCCUUCCUAUCCUACUUUUGACCAAGGCAUUUUCAAAGAACCUGGGGUUAUCCCGACGGAGGCCGUGUUAACUCUCCAUCCUCAAGAACACCGCGGACUCCGGUGAAAGAACGCUUUGGAUUAGCACGGUGAGGCUGGCGCUACGUCAGACACUUCCACAUCGAGGCAAAGGUUAUCGCCUUCGACACGUGAAUACCACCGACCUGUAGGAAACGGUCAACUAAUUCGAAUGGAACUAGCACGACUAGCAGCGCCAAAGGGAUAGAUAUCGCGCGCGGCAAGCGCCCGCGGCUGCCACCAAGCGCUUCAGCGUCACAGGCCCGCCUCUACACACGCGCACACACCACACGGUGGCGCUGGGAAGCCAGGCGAGCCAGACGGCACCACCGACCCAGUAUGCGCCACGGCAGCCCCGUGGCACCGAAGGAGCGCGGGGUUUUAGAGGAGGCGCUGCAGUAGCGAGCAUCACCAGCCAGAAAGGCCCGUCCGCCCGCCCCGCCCCGCGGCAAGGUCGCCGCUCGCCCCGCCGCACUCGCCGGCACCGCAACGGGCGCUCGUUCCAGAGGGCCUGCGAGCGCGCUAGGGUGGGGGAGGGGUGGGACGGGAGGGCAAGGGAAGAAUCGCGCGACGCGCAGCAAAGCCGCGGCUACCUCCUCGUCCACAACGGCUCCUCCUCGCGGAUAACGUUGGCGGAGAACUCCUGGCGGGCGACUUUUCCCAAGAGAGCGGCGCCACCGCGCCAGGCGGCCGGCGACCUAACGAUCCCGCCGGCCAUGACGGCGCCCGCUCGCUACAACACUCCCUCAGCCCCAAACCUCCCCAGCACGGCUCAGCACGGCUCAGCACGGCUCGGCUCGCCUC